rnacentral:rRNA from 1 species
GCGCGUAAAUUGCCCGAAUCCUGACACAGGGAGGUAGUGACAAGAAAUAACAAUACAGGGCUCUUCGAGUCUUGUAAUUGGAAUGAGUACAAUUUACAUCUCUUCACGAGGAUCAAUUGGAGGGCAAGUCUGGUGCCAGCAGCCGCGGUAAUUCCAGCUCCAAUAGCGUAUAUUAAAGUUGUUGCAGUUAAAACGCUCGUAGUCGGAUUUCGGGGCGGGCCCGCCGGUCUGCCGAUGGGUAUGCACUGGCGGGCGCGUCCUUCCUCCCGGAGACGGCUGCUACUCUUAACUGAGCGGUGGUCGGAGACGGGAUAUUUACUUUGAAAAAAUCAGAGUGUUUCAAGCAGGCAGUCGCUCUUGCAUGGAUUAGCAUGGGAUAAUGAAAUAGGACUCUGGUGCUAUUUUGUUGGUUUCGAGCACCGGAGUAAUGAUUAACAGGGACAGUCAGGGGCACUCGUAUUCC